rnacentral:lncRNA from 1 species
CGAGUAAAAUUUCAACAAUGGCUUUCAUCAAUGCUUGAUAAGUCAAGGGCUAUUUUACAUGCCUCGAAUUAUGCCGCUGGUCGGUGUAAUAUCUCCCUCAUUGCUUCUAUAUAAAAGGUACAUUUUUACUCCUUUCUCUGCCCCCAAGUUCUCUCCCCCAAGGAUGUCAUCCAUUAGAUGAUGAACACGUUAUUCACACUGUUUGACUGAGCGCACAACUGCGUUUCGGAAUGAACAUUUUACACUGAAAAUUCUGAUUUAAUGAGCCUGAUACAGAUGACACAUCCAUUAUCAUAUUCUUGUUGAUCAUUCGAUAUAUGUAUGAAGCCAUAUACUAAUGCGAACAUUGGCUUAGAUAUCUUUUUCGAUGUCCAUGUUUGACUGUUGUCCUGCUUUGUAGGGAAGCACCGCAUGCUUGGACUUAGUCUGCAUCCUUCUUUCAUAG